rnacentral:rRNA from 1 species
UGGGGAAUAUUGGGCAAUGGGGGAAACCCUGACCCAGCAACGCCGCGUGAAGGACGAAGGCCUUCGGGUUGUAAACUUCUUUGAUCAGGGACGAAAACAAUGACGGUACCUGAAGAACAAGCCACGGCUAACUACGUGCCAGCAGCCGCGGUAAUACGUAGGUGGCGAGCGUUAUCCGGAUUUACUGGGUGUAAAGGGCGUGUAGGCGAGUUUGCAAGUCGGGUGUGAGAGAUUCGGGCUUAACCCGAAGAGGUCAUCCGAAACUGCAGAUCUUGAGUGCUGGAGAGGAUAGUGGAAUUCCUGGUGUAGCGGUAAAAUGCGUAGAGAUCAGGAGGAACACCAGUGGCGAAGGCGGCUAUCUGGACAGUAACUGACGCUGAGGCGCGAAAGCGUGGGGAGCAAACAG